rnacentral:rRNA from 1 species
CCUACGGGUGGCAGCAGUAGGGAAUAUUGCUCAAUGGGGGAAACCCUGAAGCAGCAACGCCGCGUGGAGGAUGACGGUUUUCGGAUUGUAAACCCCUUUUGUUAGAGAAGAUAAUGACGGUAUCUAACGAAUAAGCACCGGCUAACUUCGUGCCAGCAGCCGCGGUAAUACGGAGGGUGCAAGCGUUAUUCGGAAUCACUGGGCGUAAAGGGCGCGUAGGCGGGUUAGCAAGUCAGAUGUGAAAUGCUAUGGCUUAACCAUAGAACUGCAUUUGAAACUGUUAGUCUAGAGUAUGGGAGAGGUAGGUGGAAUUCGUGGUGUAGGGGUAAAAUCCGUAGAGAUCAAGAAGAAUACUCAUUGCGAAGGCGACCUGCUAGAACAUAACUGACGCUGAUGCGCGAAAGCGUGGGGAGCAAACAGGAUUAGAUACCCCUGUAGUC